GAUGAACGCUGGCGGCGUGCCUAAUACAUGCAAGUCGAGCGAACAGACGAGGAGCUUGCUCCUCUGACGUUAGCGGCGGACGGGUGAGUAACACGUGGAUAACCUACCUAUAAGACUGGGAUAACUUCGGGAAACCGGAGCUAAUACCGGAUAAUAUAUUGAACCGCAUGGUUCAAUAGUGAAAGACGGUUUUGCUGUCACUUAUAGAUGGAUCCGCGCCGCAUUAGCUAGUUGGUAAGGUAACGGUUACCAAGGCAACGAUGCGUAGCCGACCUGAGAGGGUGAUCGGCCACCCUGGAACUGAGACACGGUCCAGACUCCUACGGGAGGCAGCAGUAGGGAAUCUUCCGCAAUGGGCGAAAGCCUGACGGAGCAACGCCGCGUGAGUGAUGAAGGUCUUCGGAUCGUAAAACUCUGUUAUUAGGGAAGAACAAAUGUGUAAGUAACUAUGCACGUCUUGACGGUACCUAAUCAGAAAGCCACGGCUAACUACGUG
rnacentral:rRNA from 1 species